GGUCAAGUUAUUAAGGGUGCAGGGCGGAUGCCUUGGCACUAGGAGCCGAUGAAGGACGUGAUAAGCUGCGAUAAGCUUCGGGGAGUUGCACGUAAACUUUGAUCCGAAGAUUUCCGAAUGAGGAAACUCACUUAGAGUAAUGUCUAAGUAUCAUUAAGUGAAUACAUAGCUUAAUGAGGGGAACUCAGGGAACUGAAACAUCUAAGUACCUGAAGGAAGAGAAAGAAAUUCGAUUCCGUAAGUAGCGGCGAGCGAACGCGGAUUAGCCCAAACCAAUAAAGUUUUCUUUAUUGGGGUUGCGGACAUAUCAUAACGAAGAGGUAUCGUAAUUGAAGAGGUUUGGAAAGACCCACCACAGAAGGUAAUAGUCCUGUAUGUUAAACGAGAAGACUUCAGAUAUGAUCCAGAGUACCACGGGACACGUGAAACCCUGUGGGAAGCAGGAGGGACCACCCUCCAAGGCUAAAUACUACCUAGUGACCGAUAGCGUAUAGUACCGUGAGGGAAAGGUGAAAAGAACCCCGGGAGGGGAGUGAAAUAGAACCUGAAACCCUGCACUUACAAGCUGUGGAAGCACAUUUCUUGUGUGACCGCGUACUUUUUGUAGAACGGGCCAACGAGUUACGUUAAGUAGCAAGGUUAAGCACUUAAGGUGUGGAGCCGUAGCGAAAGCGAGUUUUAACUGAGCGUUCAGUUACUUGACGUAGACCCGAAACCGGGCGACCUACCCAUGAGCAGGAUGAAGCGAAAGUAAAAUUUCGUGGAGGUCCGAACCCACGAGCGUUGAAAAGCUCGGGGAUGACUUGUGGGUAGCGGUGAAAUUCCAAUCGAGCCCGGAGAUAGCUGGUUCUCCCCGAAAUAGCUUUAGGGCUAGCCUCAAGGUGAGAGAUACGGAGGUAGAGCACUGAAUGUCCUUGGGGGUAUUGCACCUACCGAAGACUAUCAAACUCCGAAUGCCGUCAUCUUAUACUUGGGAGUCAGACUGUGGGUGAUAAGAUUCAUAGUCGAAAGGGCAACAGCCCAGAUCGUCAGCUAAGGUCCCUAAAUGUAAGUUAAGUGGUAAAGGAUGUGGGAUUGCACAGACAACCAGGAUGUUGGCUUAGAAGCAGCCACUCAUUCAAAGAGUGCGUAAUAGCUCACUGGUCGAGUGAUCCUGCGCCGAAGAUUUCCGGGGCUAAAACUUACUACCGAAGCUACGGCAUCAGUAAUGAUGGGUAGGGGAGCUUCCCAUACGGGUUGAAGCAUGACCGUAAGGACAUGUGGACAGUAUGGGAGUGAGAAUGUUGGCAUGAGUAGCGAGAUGUGGGUGAGAAUCCCACAGGCCGUAAACCCAAGGUUUCCAGGGAAGGUUCGUCCGCCCUGGGUUAGUCGGGACCUAAGCUGAGGCCGAAAGGCGUAGGUGAUGGACAACAGGUUGAUAUUCCUGUACUACCGAUAACCGUUUGAGAGAAGGGAUGACACAGUAGGAUAAGCUAAGCACACUGUUGGUUAUGUGUGCCCAAGCAUUGAGGCAGUCAAAGUAGGCAAAUCCGCUUUGAUAAUGCUGGGAUGUGAUGGGGAGCGAAAUUUAGUAGCGAAGUAGCUGAUUUCACACUGUCAAGAAAAGUCUCUAUCGAGGUUAAAGGUACCCGUACCGCAAACCGACACAGGUGGGUGAGGAGAGUAUCCUAAGGCCAGCGAGAGAACUGUUGUUAAGGAACUCGGCAAAAUGACCCCGUAACUUAGGGAUAAGGGGUGCCACCAUCAGGUGGCCGCAGAGAAUAGGCCCAAGCGACUGUUUACCAAAAACAUAGGUUUCUGCUAAGUCGCAAGACGAUGUAUAGGAGCUGACGCCUGCCCGGUGCUGGAAGGUUAAGGGGAUCUGUUAGAGCAAUCGAAGCAGUGAACUUAAGCCCCAGUAAACGGCGGCCGUAACUAUAACGGUCCUAAGGUAGCGAAAUUCCUUGUCGGGUAAGUUCCGACCCGCACGAAAGGCGUAACGAUUUGGGCACUGUCUCAACAACAGACUCGGUGAAAUUGUAAUUCCGGUGAAGAUGCCGGAUACCUGCGACAGGACGGAAAGACCCCAUGGAGCUUUACUGUAGCUUGACAUUGGGUUUUGGUACUACAUGUACAGGAUAGGUGGGAGGCUUUGAAACCAGGACGCCAGUUUUGGCGGAGCCAUCCUUGGGAUACCACCCUUGUAGUACUGGGACUCUAACCAUAGGCCAUGAAUCUGGUCUUGGGACACUGUCAGGUGGGCAGUUUGACUGGGGCGGUCGCCUCCCAAAAGGUAACGGAGGCGCUCAAAGGUUCUCUCAGUACGGUCGGAAAUCGUACGUAGAGUGUAAAGGCAAAAGAGAGCUUGAUUGCAAGACAUACAGGUCGAGCAAGGAUGAAAAUCGGACUUAGUGAUCCGGUGGUUCUGCGUGGAAGGGCCAUCGCUCAACGGAUAAAAGCUACCCUGGGGAUAACAGGCUUAUCUCCCCCAAGAGUCCACAUCGACGGGGAGGUUUGGCACCUCGAUGUCGGCUCAUCACAUCCUGGGGCUGUAGUAGGUCCCAAGGGUUGGGCUGUUCGCCCAUUAAAGUGGUACGCGAGCUGGGUUCAGAACGUCGUGAGACAGUUCGGUCCCUAUCCGUCGCAGGCGUAGGAAAUUUGAGAAGACCUGUCCUUAGUACGAGAGGACCGGGAUGGACGUACCUCUGGUGUACCAGUUGUUCUGCCAAGGGCAUGGCUGGGUAGCUAUGUACGGAAUGGAUAAGCGCUGAAAGCAUCUAAGCGCGAAGCCAACUUCAAGAUAAGAUUUCCCACCGCAAGGGUAAGAUCCCAGAAAGACUAUCUGGUUGAUAGGUCGAAGGUGUAAGUGCAGCAAUGUAUUUAGCUUAUCGAUACUAAUAGGUCGAGGACUUGACCAA
rnacentral:rRNA from 1 species